rnacentral:misc_RNA from 1 species
AAGUCGUAACAAGGUUUCCGUAGGUGAACCUGCGGAAGGAUCAUUACCAAAUCCAAAACCUUAUCAACACCUAAACAUGUGCACUGAGAGUGGUCCGUUCUCCCACUUUCCUUCUCCGCUUUUUUCUUAAAAAAAAACCGGGGAAAGGCGUGAGGGAGAGCGUUUUUUUUCUCAACCCCUUUUCAACCAUUACCUUAACCAUGUGAUGCUGAAAGCAAACAAAAACGAAACAUGAGACAACUUUUAACGGUGGAUCUCUUGGCUCGU